AAAGGUCACCUGGAGAAAAACUCGAGCUACGAAAUCUCACGUCGUUAAAACACCGCCAAAAUCUGGAGUUUCAAGCCGACUAUACGUGUCUGGGGAAUAUCAGUACUACACACCUGCCAGAUCCUAGCAGCCCCUGACGUGGCCUAGACACGGCAAGUGGGAGAGUCUCGGGCGGGACUGGCCCACCCGAAGCCCCGCCCACAGAGCAGGAGGCCCCGCCCACAAUGCGGAACCUGGCCGGGUGGGGGCGCCGUGGCUGGCCUAUAGCUCGUUAUCGCCCGUUACCGUUGCGGCACCGGCCGGGCAGCAGGUGGGGGGCGGUGCGUUAAGUCUGUCCAGCCUGUGCCUUCUCCCGGCACCAGAGCGCAGGGAACUGCCUCUGGGUUCGGCCAGCCCAGCAAAAAGCGGAACCCGCAGCUAGUCUUGCGUCGGUGAGAGGGCAGCACGGUCUCCCUGCGACGCGCCCGUCCUCUCCCGAGCGUAGCCGUUCUACGCCCAGAAAUGGGCAUGUGACCCUGAAUGCCCCCCAUGUAUUGCCUCGAGAAGAUGUGGUGCCAAGUACCAGGAGGGAUGGGUUUGUCCCGGGGGCCCAGUCCAGCAUGGUGGGCGGAGAGCGCCAGGCAGGGAUGGUCGGAGGAUCUGGGAUUUCUGUGAAUAGCCGGUGUCAGGAUAUCACAGGGGAAUGAUGCAAAGGAACUUGGGAACUGGGAUGCAUCUAUUGUUAAUCUCCAGCGAAGACAAGUCUGGCAUAGCCCAGAGGAGAGUGCUUGAGUAGCUGAAAGCUCGUGCUAUUAGGGAAUUGAUACCCAGCCAGGCAUCGGCAAGAUUCCCUCAGCUGAAGGCGGGAGGUAACAAGGUGACUAGGCUCCUGGGUACCCCAAGAACCAUCACACAAAGUCACAAAUUUAUAAAUAAAUAAUUCAAGCUACUUUUGUGUGUUGCAAACAGUGCAGAUCAAAGCCAUAUGUAAAACUAUUAAAUAAAGAUAUUCUAGAAAAAGUUGCUCCUGACUGUGGAGUUUAGAAAGAAAUCAGUGAACCAUCACAUUCAGCUAGAUAAUGAGAUCUCACAUUUACAUUAAAAUUGUGCUUCCCAACAUUUAAUGGUUGGAUCAGUGGAACUGUGCCUGUGCCUUCUAGCAUACCUGAGGUCACAUUUGUUUUCUUUCUCCUGUCCUUUUUUUUCUGUCCUCUCAUUUUUCCUUCCAGUUGUGUUCCCCCCCUCCCGCCCCGCACCCUUCUGUGUUUUUUCUUCCUUACUGCCCUUUACCUUACAGCUUUAUUCAUCCCUCUCCUCCCUACUCAACUUCAAUUAUUUCUUGCUUUUUUCUCAGUUUUCAUUCUUCUCUGCAAUUCUCCCCACAUAGCUUUCCUUUGUUUUUCUCCCCGUUCCUUACUGCUGUGGUCUUUCUCUUCCCCAUGUUUGACACCAUACUAUGUUACGGACAGUACACAAAUGUGUGCACUGUUCAGCAGGGCUGGGAAGAGAGCACAGAGCUGGAGACUUGUGCCCAGCAGUUUCUCAUAUCAGGUAAGGACAGGUAUACAUCCAGAGCAGUAAACCCUAUACAAUGGAAAUUCCAGUCCUAAUAAGCUGAAUUUUGUGCUGUUUCUGAAUAGAUUUAAAUAAUAGAACAUAACUGAGAUGAAACUAGUCCUGAUCUGCUUAGUUGAAAGUCUUUGUUUUGUUUCAUCGCUGACUACUUUGAUAUAAUAUUAUUGUAAAUUGAUAUAUUUUAAACUGUAGUUGACUGAGGUGGCCACAGCGUGGUAGGAGUAUGCUUUUAAAGUAAUUGUGUCCACAGUAAUUUAAUCUUAACAGAUGGAAAAACGUGUAUCAUACUCUGAAUGUUCCCAGGAGAGAUUGUUGUAGCAUUUGCUCAGAAAAAUAAGAUGCAGAUCUUAAGAAAAGGAAAAUACUGGCAGCUAUCACAGUAAAAGACUACUUAGGCCAAUGAAGGAAUGAGGACUCAUUUGCGUAUCAGAGGAGGAUAGCAAUAUACUGAAAGACAUUUUUGGGAACUGUGGGGAAACAGGAUUCUUCAGAGGACUGGAGCUCCCAGUAUAAUGGAGCCUCAAUCAAGAGCAUGUGUUACCAUCAGGGCUUAAAUUCUCAAAGAUUAUUUCCCAGAGCCCCGGCACCUCCCACAGGGCUGAAGCCCCAAGCCCCAGCGGGCGCUGUGAAGGACCUUGAGAUUAAACAGCUUGAAUUUGAGACGGUGAAAGGAGAGCCAAUGGACAAUUCAGAGAGUGAGGUGAGAUGACUGGGGCAACAGGCAAGGAAGAUGAUCUUAAUAACUAUGUUUCAUAAGGACUAGAUGGGAGCAAGGUGGGCCAGAGAGGAGGUGAUUGCAGUAGACAGAAUGUGAGAUGAUAAGGGCCUGGACAAGUGUUUUAGCUAUCCGGAGAGAAAAAGGUGACCUGGCUUGGAACUGUUAUGGAGGAAACAUCAGCGGAUUUGGAGGUAGGCUGGAUCCGUGGACCAAAAGGGAGGAAGUAGUCAAAAAUAACUUCCAGGUUACUGCCCUGUUUGAGAGGAAGGAUGAUGGCACUGUCAGCGGUGCCAGAAAAAUAUACAUUUCAUCAAAAAGAUUUCUCAAAUUUGGAUGGAGGGAAAUAUCUAGUGCAUUAAGCCCAUCUGAAUAUUUAUAGCAUGCUGACAUGCUUCUGCCGACAAUUAAUCAAAUGCAGUGUGGCACGUGCAGGUGAUCUUAACUUUUAAAUUGUGGGAAAAGAAGAGCAGGUAAUAUUUAAGGUGAAAUAAAGGAUACAAUUUUCAAUACUGCAAUUGAAACUAAUUCUGAUUUUGAUUCAUUUCCAGUAUUAGCACUAUCCUUUAAUCAUCAGCAUGAAGAGAAAAAAAUAAUCUCUACUUCAUUGAGAUGUAUUUGGAACCCCAUUACAUUGAAGAUGACCCCAUGUUUUUCAAGGGAAACUGAUGCAGCGACAAAUCCCUUAAAGUCCAGAUUGUAGGUCCAUUAAGCAGGAAUUCCACACACACAAAAAUCAAUUUUCUACCAUCACCAUGAGUAUUCCACAUCUCUCCCCAAAGCAGCAUUACCUGCCCAAGCCGCCACUGAUGUCAGUAUUCAAUUAUAUGUAAAUUACAACCUGCUCCAACUCAUACUGAAGUUAGUAUCAAAACUCUAAUUGACAGCAGCAUAAUGGUA